CUCUCCGAUAUUUUUUUCCUCCCCCCCUGGCGUCCGCCCACAGCCCUCUCUCCCUCGUGGCGCUGCCCUCCGCCCAUUCCUCCUCCCGCGCCCUCCCAUGGCGGCGGCGCCCUAGCAGCUCCAUCCUCCUCCCCUCCCUUCAGCCUCUCAGAUCCAUUCGGGCGGCGCAGCCCUCCUGCAGGGAAUUUUUUUCCCGGCGUAGCCAGUCGUCGCAGCACCCUCCCACCCCAACGGUGCUGAGGGCGAGCUCCGACGGGCGGGUGCCGGGGCCAAGUUCCAGCGGCGCGCCCAAGGGCGGGCGUUGAGGGCGAGCUUCGGGCGGGUGCCGGGGUCAAGCUCCGGCGGCGCACCCAAGGGCGGGCGUUGACGACGAGCUCCGACGGGCAGGUGCUGGGGUCAAGCUCCGGCGGCGCGCCCAAGGGUCGUGCAGUCUGUUAAGAUCCAGCAGGUGUGCCCCCGGCGGCUUCAGCUGCGGCCUCUCCUUGGGACUGCGAGGGCUCAAGGCCUGCGGGUGUGCAGGUGCUCUCACCCUCCGCGUCAGGCAGCACGCGAGGCUCCGAGAAUGGAGAUCUCCUCUUCUGGAUCUAGCGCCCCACCCUCAACGAGUCCAGAUGUAGUAGUGGAUUUAUGAGUUCUGAAGAUCAAUUCAGGCUAUGGUUGUGCUGGGACCAACGUCCUUGGAGGGGGCUUUGGCCAUAUUGCUAAACCUUUUGCAAGAUGAGAAUUGUCAUCCAUGGCUUCAAGGCAAAGAGGAUCAACACGAUGUCCAGAUACUUUGAGCUCUUUUCCUUCAUUGUCAAAUGAUGCAACACUACUUUUAUUUGAAACAUAGCUAUCGUCCUUCAAUGUAUAGACUAUUUUCGUGACAGUUUUAGCUAUUUUUGUGACUAUUUCUAGCUCUCAUGAAAUCUCUGUUUUCGGGUAACGCGUUGCAAACUGAAUCAGUUAAGCUAAUAACUGAAUCUGCUUGUUCUUGAGCAAA